rnacentral:rRNA from 1 species
AUUGAACGCUGGCGGCAUGCUUUACACAUGCAAGUCGAACGGUAACAGGGAGCUUGCUCCGCUGACGAGUGGCGAACGGGUGAGUAAUGCAUCGGAACGUGCCGUGUAGUGGGGGAUAACGUAGCGAAAGUUACGCUAAUACCGCAUACGCCCUGAGGGGGAAAGUGGGGGACCGCAAGGCCUCACGCUAUACGAGCGGCCGAUGUCGGAUUAGCUAGUUGGUAGGGUAAAGGCCUACCAAGGCGACGAUCCGUAGCGGGUCUGAGAGGAUGAUCCGCCACACUGGGACUGAGACACGGCCCAGACUCCUACGGGAGGCAGCAGUGGGGAAUUUUGGACAAUGGGCGCAAGCCUGAUCCAGCCAUGCCGCGUGAGUGAAGAAGGCCUUCGGGUUGUAAAGACUCUUUCUAGCCGGAAAGAAACGACACGGGUUAAUAACCUAGUGUGGAUGACGGUACCGGAAGAAGAAGCACCGGCUAACUACGUGCCAGCAGCCGCGGUAAU